UUUGAUCAUAUGCUGAUUGCAGUUGUUUCAAAAAAUUUGCUGUUGUGCCUGGUGCUUGGAUAUGCUGUAAUAUUCAUGAUUCAAAUGCCGGACAGAUACCUAUAUCCAGUGUUCAGAUGUUAACAUAUUGACGAUGUGUUUAUUAGCAUAUGGUGUGAUUUUGCUGUGAAUUUGUCUUGUGCCAUGCAUGUCAUCUGUGUUCAAACGGUAGGGCACGCAUCGCCCGCUGAAUGUUCUAGUGGACUGAAACCGCAAUGGGCAAACCUGCCCUAUUCGUGUUGUCGGAUCAUAGGAAAAGGAGACACUGAAAUAUAGGCGCGGAUCGUUCCAUCGUAACACUGGUAGAGAAUUAGCC
rnacentral:lncRNA from 1 species